UACAGAGGUCUCAAGCGUUGUUCGGAUUCAUUGGGCGUAAAGGGUGCGUAGGCGGCGCGGUAAGUCGGGUGUGAAAUCUUGGAGCUUAACUCCGAAACUGCAUUCGAUACUGCCGUGCUUGAGGACUGGAGAGGAGACUGGAAUUUACGGUGUAGCGGUGAAAUGCGUAGAUAUCGUAAGGAAGACCAGUGGCGAAGGCGGGUCUCUGGACAGUUCCUGACGCUGAGGCACGAAGGCCCAGGGGGAGCAAAACGGGGAUUAGAAAACCCCCGGU
rnacentral:rRNA from 1 species